UACGUAGGGUGCAAGCGUUAAUCGGAAUUACUGGGCGUAAAGCGUGCGCAGACGGUUUUGUAAGUCUGUCGUGAAAGCCCCGGGCUCAACCUGGGAAUUGCGUUGGAGACUGCAAGGCUAGAAUCUGGCAGAGGGGGGUAGAAUUCCACGUGUAGCAGUGAAAUGCGUAGAGAUGUGGAGGAACACCGAUGGCGAAGGCAGCCCCCUGGGUCAAGAUUGACGCUCAUGCACGAAAGCGUGGGGAGCAAACAGG
rnacentral:rRNA from 1 species